rnacentral:rRNA from 3 species
AAAUUGAAGAGUUUGAUCAUGGCUCAGAUUGAACGCUGGCGGCAGGCCUAACACAUGCAAGUCGAACGGUAACAGGAAGCAGCUUGCUGCUUUGCUGACGAGUGGCGGACGGGUGAGUAAUGUCUGGGAAACUGCCUGAUGGAGGGGGAUAACUACUGGAAACGGUAGCUAAUACCGCAUAAUGUCGCAAGACCAAAGAGGGGGACCUUCGGGCCUCUUGCCAUCGGAUGUGCCCAGAUGGGAUUAGCUAGUAGGUGGGGUAACGGCUCACCUAGGCGACGAUCCCUAGCUGGUCUGAGAGGAUGACCAGCCACACUGGAACUGAGACACGGUCCAGACUCCUACGGGAGGCAGCAGUGGGGAAUAUUGCACAAUGGGCGCAAGCCUGAUGCAGCCAUGCCGCGUGUAUGAAGAAGGCCUUCGGGUUGUAAAGUACUUUCAGCGGGGAGGAAGGCGAUAAGGUUAAUAACCUUGUCGAUUGACGUUACCCGCAGAAGAAGCACCGGCUAAUUCCGUGCCAGCAGCCGCGGUAAUACGGAGGGUGCAAGCGUUAAUCGGAAUUACUGGGCGUAAAGCGCACGCAGGCGGUCUGUCAAGUCGGAUGUGAAAUCCCCGGGCUCAACCUGGGAACUGCAUUCGAAACUGGCAGGCUAGAGUCUUGUAGAGGGGGGUAGAAUUCCAGGUGUAGCGGUGAAAUGCGUAGAGAUCUGGAGGAAUACCGGUGGCGAAGGCGGCCCCCUGGACAAAGACUGACGCUCAUGUGCGAAAGCGUGGGGAGCAAACAGGAUUAGAUACCCUGGUAGUCCACGCCGUAAACGAUGUCGACUUGGAGGUUGUGCCCUUGAGGCGUGGCUUCCGGAGCUAACGCGUUAAGUCGACCGCCUGGGGAGUACGGCCGCAAGGUUAAAACUCAAAUGAAUUGACGGGGGCCCGCACAAGCGGUGGAGCAUGUGGUUUAAUUCGAUGCAACGCGAAGAACCUUACCUACUCUUGACAUCCAGAGAACUUAGCAGAGAUGCUUUGGUGCCUUCGGGAACUCUGAGACAGGUGCUGCAUGGCUGUCGUCAGCUCGUGUUGUGAAAUGUUGGGUUAAGUCCCGCAACGAGCGCAACCCUUAUCCUUUGUUGCCAGCGGUUAGGCCGGGAACUCAAAGGAGACUGCCAGUGAUAAACUGGAGGAAGGUGGGGAUGACGUCAAGUCAUCAUGGCCCUUACGAGUAGGGCUACACACGUGCUACAAUGGCGCAUACAAAGAGAAGCGACCUCGCGAGAGCAAGCGGACCUCAUAAAGUGCGUCGUAGUCCGGAUUGGAGUCUGCAACUCGACUCCAUGAAGUCGGAAUCGCUAGUAAUCGUGGAUCAGAAUGCCACGGUGAAUACGUUCCCGGGCCUUGUACACACCGCCCGUCACACCAUGGGAGUGGGUUGCAAAAGAAGUAGGUAGCUUAACCUUCGGGAGGGCGCUUACCACUUUGUGAUUCAUGACUGGGGUGAAGUCGUAACAAGGUAACCGUAGGGGAACCUGCGGUUGGAUCACCUCCUUACCUUAAAGAA